ACUGUUAACAUCAGCACUCAGAGGAUGGAGGUGGAAAGCUCGGGAGUCUGAGGCUAGCCUGAGCCACAAGACAUCCGCCAUCCCGCUCAACCAUGGAGAGACCCUGGGGGUCCUGGGACCUCUCUCCUUUCUCCUGGACCUGCUGGGCAAGAAGCUGGCACCUACUUCUCUUCCAUCUCAAUGGGCUUCAGAGGCCACCUCAGCACCCCUAAGGGUCAGUUUGGAUCUAGCUUUGACUGGAUCUGUCCUCUGGGGAUAUCGUGUUGGAGGUGCAGCCACAUUCAGCGCAGCCACACUCUAUGCAGCCACGCUUAGAGGUGGUAUUACGGAAAGGUGGUGGCUGGGUCGACAGGAAGAGUCUUUGUGAGGGAUUAUGUAUACUUUGGGGAUGUCUGUGGGCAACUGCCUUAAGUUAAAUGAUAGGGGAAGCCACAGCCUACUGUGGGUGAUGUCAUUCCCUAAGCAGGGCAUCCUGAACUGUGAGGAGUUGAAUCACUGAGAUGAACACCGGCAUGCGUUCACGCAUUUGUCCCCACUUAUAACUCUCCACAGUGAUGGACAGUAGCCAGGAAUUCUAAGCUAAAUCCUCUCUCUCUCCUUAGCCGCUCUUCCUCACGGGGUUUUAGUCACAGAAGUGGAACUAGAUAGCGCUGACUUUGCCGGUGGAUUAAGCCACUGAGGAGUUCAUGCUGAAACUGGGUGGUGAAAGCUGACAGCCAAAGCAGUUCUUGACAUUUCUUCUCUGACUCCCAGCUACCACGAGGUGAGCAGCCUCGACAGCUACCUGCUCCUACCAGCUGCCUUCUGUAGCAGGUCAAUGCCUUCAUACAAACCAUGGAUGGAGCCCUCUGAAACCAUGAGUGAAAAUAAAAAGUUUCCCUUCCUGUUG
ensembl:antisense Gm10714 predicted gene 10714